rnacentral:rRNA from 1 species
UACGUAGGGUGCAAGCGUUGUCCGGAAUUAUUGGGCGUAAAGAGCUCGUAGGCGGUCUGUCGCGUCUGGUGUGAAAAUCCAGGGCUUAACCCUGGACCUGCAUCGGGUACGGGCAGACUAGAGUGCGGUAGGGGAGAUCGGAAUUCCUGGUGUAGCGGUGAAAUGCGCAGAUAUCAGGAGGAACACCGGUGGCGAAGGCGGGUCUCUGGGCCGAAACUGACGCUGAGGAGCGAAAGCGUGGGGAGCAAACAGG